UACGGGGGGGGCAAGCGUUGUUCGGAAUUACUGGGCGUAAAGGGUUCGUAGGUGGCCUACUAGGUCAUACGUGAAAUCCCUCAGCUUAACUGGGGAACUGCGUCUGAGACUGGAAGGCUUGAGUGCAGGAGAGGAACGCGGAAUUCCUGGUGUAGCGGUGGAAUGCGCAGAUAUCAGGAGGAACACCAAUGGCGAAGGCAGAUCUCUGGGCCGUAACUGACGCUGAGGAGCGAAAGCAUGGGGAGCAAACAGU
rnacentral:rRNA from 1 species